CAAGUCCCGAACGGAACCCCGGGGCGCGCGCGGUGCAGGCAGUUUCAGAGAUCUUGUCCCUGGCCAGCAGCUCCACUGCAGCGAGCCUGAGGCCAGCCUGAAGCUCUAUGGCAGAAGGACCUGCAGAGGGGAGGAGAAGGCAUGACCUCAGCGCCCCAGCGCCUAAGAGCAGACUCAGCUUGAACUCUCCGGGUUAGCCCUGGUGAUGUCCGGCCUCAUCUCAGUAGCACUGCCCCCACCCUCACCUCCACGCUGCGCUAAAACUUCGACGCACCGCACCGGCCCCUGGAGGACUCUUCAAAUUCGGCCACAACAGGCGUGGGUGAGAAAGCCAGCCGCUCACCUCUGCGCGUUCUCUUCCCCUGGCACCCUUCCCUGGCCUUGGUUGGCCAAGGCAAACUACCCCUCCCUCUUGUGUGUAUUCGCUCGGUGUUAGCCCAGUCCUUGUCCCAAAGGCAGACAGUGGGGUCAGCGGCAGCGGUUUGAGGACCCCACGCCUCAAACCCACGCCAGAGACACGCACGACCGCCCGGGGCGCACCUGCGGGUGCAGUGCGCAGAGUCAGCACCAGGGGGCGCUUCCGCCGGCUGCGGCCGGACACCUCCGUCGUGCUGGGAUUACCCAGUUUCUGCAAUCCUGGGGCUCUGCUGGGACCGCUCCUGGUCCGCCCGUCCUUUAAAGGUUUGAUUAUGAAACAACUGGUGAUUUAGAGAAAGUCACAUAGUUGCUUUCAAUGUGUUACCAUAUGAUGUCUGAGGUCACACAA